rnacentral:rRNA from 1 species
AGCAGUAGGGAAUCUUCCACAAUGGACGCAAGUCUGAUGGAGCAAUGCCGCGUGAGUGAAGAAGGGUUUCGGCUCGUAAAACUCUGUUGUUGAAGAAGAACGGGUGUCAGAGUAACUGUUGACAUCGUGACGGUAUUCAACCAGAAAGCCACGGCUAACUACGUGCCAGCAGCCGCGGUAAUACGUAGGUGGCAAGCGUUGUCCGGAUUUAUUGGGCGUAAAGCGAGCGCAGGCGGUUAUUUAAGUCUGAUGUGAAAGCCUUCGGCUUAACCGAAGAAGUGCAUCGGAAACUGGAUGACUUGAGUGCAGAAGAGGACAGUGGAACUCCAUGUGUAGCGGUGGAAUA